rnacentral:rRNA from 1 species
UGAAGAGCGGACAGCUACUGAAUCUUAAGCCGAGCUAUGCUCGUAUUGGGAUGUCGUAAGGGAAAAUAAUGAUACUACCUUACUAUAAGUGUCGUCCAAAACUGGUGCCAGAAGACUCGGUAAGGCCAGAGACGCAAACGUUAAUCAUCUUAAUCAGGCGUAAAGGGUAAGUAGGCUGCUUAAAAAGUAUUUAUCUUUAAAUAGCCAAAUAUUUUAAUUUCAUUUUAAUUUUAUUUCUCUAGCCUCUGGAGCAGCCUUGCUUAAGGCCGCAAGCUAGGCUUAAAAACAAAAAAUCCCCUUGGCCCCAUCCUAGCUACGCAAAAAAAAUAAUAGCCACAGUCCGUAGGGCGCCGUAAAACCACAAAUGUUAGCCUUAUUUAAAUUUAAAUUUAAACGGCCUUGUUUUGUUUGCUUUUUAACCGGCUUCUUCUACUCUGCGCAAGCCUUGCUUAAAAAAAAUGUUUAAACAUUUUUUUUUAUAAGGCGUGGGUUAGGGCUAAAUAUAUAUGCUACUGUUAAAUCAAAUUUAGCUAUAGCCAAACAAAAAAUGCUACGCUCCUACUCGCUUGCUGCCUGUUUUUGGCGCGCCAAAAUAAAGGCUACAGGAGUCAUUAUAUGCAUGCAAGCAAAAUUAGCGUAACGGCUAUGUGGCUAAUCUAUUUUAGCCUAAGCCUUAUUUUAAGCUAUUUUAAAUUAAAGACAAAGAGGGUUUUUUUACUUUUUUAGUCCCCGGUUAAAACAAGCCCGAGCCUGGCUCAAGGCUACAGCAGACCAUGGGUCCGGGACCGGGACCAGAGGGCAAAGAUUUUUUACCUUAAAUAAAAAUAAAAAACGGCUUACUUAAUAGUCCAAUCAAAAAAAAUCAGUCUUUAAGCGUAACCAGAAAUAAUUAAAAUGUAUAAUUUGAUGAUUAAAAUAUUUGUAAAUAAAAUAUGAAUUUAAGCUAGAAUCAAGAAGGGGUUGACCCGAAUAAUAUUUAGAGGAGGGAUAAAAUCUUUAGAUCCUAAAUGGAAUACUCAAGGCGAAAGCUUUUCAACCAAGUAAUGAUUGACGCUAAGGAACGAAGGGGAGGGCAAGAAACAGGAUUAGAGACCCUAGUACUCCUCUCAGUCAACGAUGAAUGGUAUACAUUAGUUUAUACAAACUAUAUGAUAAAAGCUAACGCGAGUAACCAUUCCGCCUUGUAACUACGACUGCAAUGUUAAAAACAAAAAAAUUAGUCGUCUCGAAGCAGCAAGGUUC